rnacentral:rRNA from 2 species
CCAAUAGCGUAUAUUAAAGUUGCUGCAGUUAAAAAGCUCGUAGUUGAAUUUCGGGACCGAUAUAUCGGUCGUGCCUCGGUACGUACUGGUAUUUUCGGUUUCUCCCUUCUGACGAACCUUGAUGUCAUUAAUUUGGUGUCUUGGGGAAUCAGGACUGUUACUUUGAAAAAAUUAGAGUGUUUAAAGCAGGCUCACGCUUGAAUACAUUAGCAUGGAAUAAUGAAAUAGGACGUUUGAUUCUAUUUUGUUGGUUUCUAGGAUCGACGUAAUGAUUAAUAGGGAUAGUUGGGGGCAUUAGUAUUCAAUUGUCAGAGGUGAAAUUCUUGGAUUUAUUGAAGACUAACUACUGCGAAAGCAUUUGCCAAGGAUGUUUUCAUUAAUCAAGAACGAAAGUUAGGGGAUCGAAGACGAUCAGAUACCGUCGUAGUCUUAACCAUAAACUAUGCCGACUAGGGAUCGGAUGAUGUUAAUUUUUUAAUGACUCAUUCGGCGCCUUACG